AGAAUCAACGCUGGCGGCGUGCCUAACACAUGCAAGUCGCACGAGAAAGGGUAGCAAUACCUGAGUACAGUGGCGCACGGGUGAGUAACACGUGAAUUAUCUACCUCCGAGUGGGGAAUAAACUGAGAGAAAUCUUAGCUAAUACCGCAUAACACUUACGAGUCAAAGCAGCAAUGCGCGUUGGGAGAGGAGUUCGACGGCAGAUUAGUUACGUUGGCGGGGUAAUGGCCCACCAAGACGAUGAUCUGUA
rnacentral:rRNA from 1 species